GAAAUGCGAUAAGUAAUGUGAAUUGCAGAAUUCAGUGAAUCAUCGAAUCUUUGAACGCACCUUGCGCUCCUUGGUAUUCCUUGGAGCAUGUCUGUUUGAGUAUCAUGAAAUCUUCAAAGUAUAUCUUUUGUUAACUCAAUUGGUUUCUACUUUGGUAUUGGAGGUCUUUGCAGCUUCACACCUGCUCCUCUUUGUUCAUUAGCUGGAUCUCAGUGUUAUGCUUGGUUCCACUCGGCGUGAUAAGUUAUCUAUCGCUGAGGACACUGUAAAAGGUGGCCAAGGUAAAUGCAGAUGAACCGCUUCUAAUAGUCCAUUGACUUGGACAAUACUUUUAUGAUCUGAUCUCAAAUCAGGUAGGACUACCCGCUGAACUUAAGC
rnacentral:misc_RNA from 1 species